GUCUACAGCCAUGCCACCCUGAAUGUGCCUGAUCUCAUCUGAUUUCAGAAGCUAAUCAGGGUCAGGCCUUGAUUAGUACUUACAUGGGAGACCACCUAGGAAUACCAGGUGCUGUAGACA
ensembl:rRNA 5S_rRNA 5S ribosomal RNA